UUCAUCUCCAUGAUGCUUGAGCUUCCAUAAAUCCUCCAAGAUCCAUCGAGUCAAACUCAUUAUUUAAAAAUGAUUAAAAUCUAAUUUAAUAAGUAUUUCAAAAAUACCACAAUUUUUAAACUUUAUUUUAGAACCACCAUUAAGCCUUAAUUUUUCAUAAAAUAACAUUGUGCCAAAUAAUUAUUCACUAAUAAUAUUUGGACUUAAUUAGUAUUUCAUAAAUACAGUUAAUUUAUAAACUAAGUUUAGAAAUACCAUUAGAUUUAUUUUUCUAUAAAAAUAACACUUGGACCAAGUGAUAUUUCAAAAAUACUACUUUAGGUCCAAGCCCAAACAAAUGUAUAUGUUGCUUGAAGCAACAUCAUGCUCGGCAUAGACACCAAGCAUCACUUGGUCAUGUGGUGAUAUUCUUCGGCUGCAGGGAUGAAGACCGAGAUACUCUCGGAUGGACGUUGAACGAUCCGUCCCGCUUUGGAGUGGUUGCCAAGAACGAAGCAGACGUCAAACGUCCCUCUGCCAAUAUAUAAUGAUGGUGGAAGACAGACAACAAUCUAUGGAGUCCAUUGGAAGUGGCGGCGGAGUCGCCGAAAGUGCAAUUCGUGGUGAGUUUCUGUGGUGGCCUGUGGCGAACGGAGCCUGGAGAUGGUGGCUACCGUCGAACGGUGAUUGUGGAGAUGGUGGUGCCAACAUUGAUCAUUGCUGUAGGUGGUUGAGACCACCAUUGUUGCCGAAGGUGAAGAAUAAGACCGAGACUAUCUCGGUAUUGUUACGUGAUUCAUCCACAUAUAUUUAUAGGGUGGUAUUUAUGAUAUGAACAUGGUUCUCUUCUUCAUCGAUCUUCUGGUUGUACUUGUGAUGCUUUAGGGUUCGCUAUUUAUUUUUAUUUUUUUGCUCUUAUUUAGUUUAAUCUUUUUGGUGUAAUUUAGUUUCUUUGUUAAUAUUUGUAACAAAUGAUUUUAAGUGUGUUUUAAAUAUUUUCUGUUUUUGUUUUGAAAUAAAUUUUUUCAUGGUUUGUCCAUCGGUGCAUAUUGGGUGGUGCCAGUUAAAUAGAUGGAUCUUGUGUGGAGAUUAAGAAAUUGUUGACCUAGAAUGGUUUUGGUGGAGUCAUUGAGAGUGAACGCUAGCUAGUAGACUUAUUGUUGUUGAUGUUGUUAUUAUUAUUAUUAAUAAUAAUAAUUUUGCACGAAGACUUGUGUAGUUGCUCGGUGUUGAAGAUUGUGGUUAAUUUUCUUUGGUUUGGGAAUGGAUGUAAGUGUUUUUGUACUUAGUUGUUUAGUUGUUUGGUUUGCUUAUUUUGGUCUUUUA